AGAGUUUGAUUAUGGCUCAGGAUGAACGCUGGCGGCGUGCUUAAUACAUGUAAGUCGGACGGGAUAUUAGCAAUAGAUUAGUGGCGAACGGGUGAGUAACGCGUUGGUGACCCUGCCCCGAAGUGGGGGAUAACAGUUCGAAAGGACUGCUAAUACCGCAUGAGAUGCACCGAGUUAGAGGCGGUGGAUGAAAGCUGAAAAGCGCUUUGGGAGGGACCUGCGUCCCAUCAGCUAGUUGGUAGGGUAGAAGCCUACCAAGGCGACGACGGGUAGGGGGCCUGAGAGGGUGACCCCCCACACUGGCACUGAAACACGGGCCAGACACCUACGGGUGGCAGCAGUAGGGAAUAUUGCACAAUGGGCGAAAGCCUGAUGACCAGCAACGCCGCGUGCACGAUGAAGGCCUUCGGGUCGUAAAGUGCUUUUCUGUAGGACGAGGAAGGACGGUACUGCAGGAAUAAGGAUCGGCUAACUACGUGCCAGCCGCGGC
rnacentral:rRNA from 1 species